UAUAUUUUGGUGUAUGGUGCACGGAGAAUUUUGAUUUCUCAGGAUUUAGUUUAAAUCUAAAAAAUAUAA
rnacentral:tRNA from 1 species